rnacentral:rRNA from 1 species
UACGGAAUGUGCAAACGUUAUUCGGAAUCACUGGGCUUAAAGAGUCCGUAGGCGGCAUGUUAGGUGAGGUGUGAAAUCCACCGGCUCAACCGAGGAAUUGCGCUUCAAACCGGCGUGCUUGAGGAAGAUAGAGGUGGGCGGAACUGAUGGUGGAGCGGUGAAAUGCGUUGAUAUCAUCAGGAACACCGGAGGCGAAGGCGGCCCACUGGGUCUUUUCUGACGCUGAGGGACGAAAGCUAGGGGAGCGAACGGG